rnacentral:rRNA from 1 species
AGCGAACGCUGGCGGCAGGCUUAACACAUGCAAGUCGAACGGGCACUUCGGUGCUAGUGGCAGACGGGUGGGUAACGCGUGGGAACGUGCCUUUCGGUUCGGAAUAAUCCAGGGAAACUUGGACUAAUACCGGAUACGCCCUUCGGAGGAAAGAUUUAUCGCCGAAAGAUCGGCCCGCGUCUGAUUAGCUAGUUGGUGAGGUAAAGGCUCACCAAGGCGACGAUCAGUAGCUGGUCUGAGAGGAUGAUCAGCCACAUUGGGACUGAGACACGGCCCAAACUCCUACGGGAGGCAGCAGUGGGGAAUAUUGGACAAUGGGCGCAAGCCUGAUCCAGCCAUGCCGCGUGAGUGAUGAAGGCCUUAGGGUUGUAAAGCUCUUUUGUCCGGGAAGAUAAUGACUGUACCGGAAGAAUAAGCCCCGGCUAACUUCGUGCCAGCCGCCGCGGUAACAC